UUAAGUUAGAAAGGGCGCACGGUGGAUGCCUUGACACUAGGAGUCGAUGAAGGACGGGACUAACGCCGAUAUGCUUCGGGGAGCUGUAAGUAAGCUUUGAUCCGAAGAUUUCCGAAUGGGGAAACCCACUAUACGUAAUGGUAUGGUAUCCUUAUCUGAAUACAUAGGGUAAGGAAGACAGACCCAGGGAACUGAAACAUCUAAGUACCUGGAGGAAGAGAAAGCAAAUGCGAUUUCCUGAGUAGCGGCGAGCGAAACGGAACAUAGCCCAAACCAAGAGGCUUGCCUCUUGGGGUUGUAGGACAUUCUAUACGGAGUUACAAAGGAACGAGGUAGACGAAGCGACCUGGAAAGGUCCGUCGUAGAGGGUAACAACCCCGUAGUCGAAACUUCGUUCUCUCUUGAAUGUAUCCUGAGUACGGCGGAACACGUGAAGUUCCGUCGGAAUCUGGGAGGACCAUCUCCCAAGGCUAAAUACUCCCUAGUGAUCGAUAGUGAACCAGUACCGUGAGGGAAAGGUGAAAAGCACCCCGGAAGGGGAGUGAAAGAGAUCCUGAAACCGUGUGCCUACAAAUAGUCAGAGCCCGUUAACGGGUGAUGGCGUGCCUUUUGUAGAAUGAACCGGCGAGUUACGAUCCCGUGCGAGGUUAAGCUGAAGAGGCGGAGCCGCAGCGAAAGCGAGUCUGAAUAGGGCGUUUAGUACGUGGUCGUAGACCCGAAACCAGGUGAUCUACCCAUGUCCAGGGUGAAGUUCAGGUAACACUGAAUGGAGGCCCGAACCCACGCACGUUGAAAAGUGCGGGGAUGAGGUGUGGGUAGCGGAGAAAUUCCAAUCGAACCUGGAGAUAGCUGGUUCUCCCCGAAAUAGCUUUAGGGCUAGCCUUAAGUGUAAGAGUCUUGGAGGUAGAGCACUGAUUGGACUAGGGGUCCUCAUCGGAUUACCGAAUUCAGUCAAACUCCGAAUGCCAAUGACUUAUCCUUAGGAGUCAGACUGCGAGUGAUAAGAUCCGUAGUCAAAAGGGAAACAGCCCAGACCGCCAGCUAAGGUCCCAAAGUGUGUAUUAAGUGGAAAAGGAUGUGGAGUUGCUUAGACAACUAGGAUGUUGGCUUAGAAGCAGCCACCAUUUAAAGAGUGCGUAAUAGCUCACUAGUCGAGUGACUCUGCGCCGAAAAUGUACCGGGGCUAAAUACACCACCGAAGCUGCGGAUUGAUACCAAUGGUAUCAGUGGUAGGGGAGCGUUCUAAGGACAGUGAAGUCAGACCGGAAGGACUGGUGGAGUGCUUAGAAGUGAGAAUGCCGGUAUGAGUAGCGAAAGACGGGUGAGAAUCCCGUCCACCGAAUGCCUAAGGUUUCCUGAGGAAGGCUCGUCCGCUCAGGGUUAGUCAGGACCUAAGCCGAGGCCGACAGGCGUAGGCGAUGGACAACAGGUUGAUAUUCCUGUACCACCUCUUUAUCGUUUGAGCAAUGGAGGGACGCAGAAGGAUAGAAGAAGCGUGCGAUUGGUUGUGCACGUCCAAGCAGUUAGGCUGAUAAGUAGGCAAAUCCGCUUAUCGUGAAGGCUGAGCUGUGAUGGGGAAGCUCCUUAUGGAGCGAAGUCUUUGAUUCCCCGCUGCCAAGAAAAGCUUCUAGCGAGAUAAAAGGUGCCUGUACCGCAAACCGACACAGGUAGGCGAGGAGAGAAUCCUAAGGUGUGCGAGAGAACUCUGGUUAAGGAACUCGGCAAAAUGACCCCGUAACUUCGGGAGAAGGGGUGCUUUCUUAACGGAAAGCCGCAGUGAAUAGGCCCAAGCGACUGUUUAGCAAAAACACAGCUCUCUGCGAAGCCGUAAGGCGAAGUAUAGGGGGUGACACCUGCCCGGUGCUGGAAGGUUAAGGAGAGGGGUUAGCGUAAGCGAAGCUCUGAACUGAAGCCCCAGUAAACGGCGGCCGUAACUAUAACGGUCCUAAGGUAGCGAAAUUCCUUGUCGGGUAAGUUCCGACCCGCACGAAAGGUGUAACGAUUUGGGCACUGUCUCAACCAGAGACUCGGUGAAAUUAUAGUACCUGUGAAGAUGCAGGUUACCCGCGACAGGACGGAAAGACCCCGUGGAGCUUUACUGUAGCCUGAUAUUGAAUUUUGGUACAGUUUGUACAGGAUAGGCGGGAGCCUUUGAAACCGGAGCGCUAGCUUCGGUGGAGGCGCUGGUGGGAUACCGCCCUGACUGUAUUGAAAUUCUAACCUACGGGUCUUAUCGACCCGGGAGACAGUGCCAGGUGGGCAGUUUGACUGGGGCGGUCGCCUCCUAAAGUGUAACGGAGGCGCCCAAAGGUUCCCUCAGAAUGGUUGGAAAUCAUUCGUAGAGUGCAAAGGCAUAAGGGAGCUUGACUGCGAGACCUACAAGUCGAGCAGGGACGAAAGUCGGGCUUAGUGAUCCGGUGGUUCCGCAUGGAAGGGCCAUCGCUCAACGGAUAAAAGCUACCCCGGGGAUAACAGGCUUAUCUCCCCCAAGAGUCCACAUCGACGGGGAGGUUUGGCACCUCGAUGUCGGCUCAUCGCAUCCUGGGGCUGUAGUCGGUCCCAAGGGUUGGGCUGUUCGCCCAUUAAAGCGGUACGCGAGCUGGGUUCAGAACGUCGUGAGACAGUUCGGUCCCUAUCCGUCGUGGGCGUAGGAAAUUUGAGAGGAGCUGUCCUUAGUACGAGAGGACCGGGAUGGACGCACCGCUGGUGUACCAGUUGUUCUGCCAAGGGCAUAGCUGGGUAGCUAUGUGCGGAAGGGAUAAGUGCUGAAAGCAUCUAAGCAUGAAGCCCCCCUCAAGAUGAGAUUUCCCAUAGCGUAAGCUAGUAAGAUCCCUGAAAGAUGAUCAGGUUGAUAGGUUCGAGGUGGAAGCAUGGUGACAUGUGGAGCUGACGAAUACUAAUAGAUCGAGGACUUAACCAU
rnacentral:rRNA from 1 species